UAGGGAAUCUUCCACAAUGGACGCAAGUCUGAUGGAGCAACGCCGCGUGAGUGAAGAAGGUUUUCGGACCGUAAAGCUCUGUUGUUGGUGAAGAAGGAUAGAGGUAGUAACUGGCCUUUAUUUGACGGUAAUCAACCAGAAAGUCACGGCUAACUACGUGCCAGCAGCCGCGGUAAUACGUAGGUGGCAAGCGUUGUCCGGAUUUAUUGGGCGUAAAGCGAGCGCAGGCGGAAGAAUAAGUCUGAUGUGAAAGCCCUCGGCUUAACCGAGGAAUUGCAUCGGAAACUGUUUUUCUUGAGUGCAGAAGAGGAGAGUAGAACUCCAUGUGUAGCGGUGGAAUGCGUAGAUAUAUGGAAGAAUACCAGUGGCGAAGGCGGCUCUCUGGUCUGCAACUGACGCUGAGGCUCGAAAGCAUGGGUAGCGAACAGGAUUAGAUACCCUGGUAGUCCAUGCCGUAAACGAUGAGUGCUAAGUGUUGGGAGGCUUCCGCCUCUCAGUGCUGCAGCUAGCGCAUUAAGCACUCCG
rnacentral:rRNA from 1 species